CCACCCCCCGAGUCCCUGGAAGGCCCCCCAAGUUCAUCACUGUUCCUUAGGACUAGAUUUUGUGUGACCACGGACCUGCAGCCCGGGUCCCCGGGAAACAUGGGAUGUCGGCGGGGGGCCCGGCCCUCCCCGCCCGCUGGUCCACACGCAGGAGAACGACCCUGCGGCCCGACACGCGGCCUGCGCGGGCUCUGACCUUGGACGAGCCCUCCGGGUCCUCCGUCGCGCGGUUCCCUUACCCUUGCUUUCUCCCUGUCCCCGAGGAGCUGGAGGAAAGAGCCUGGGAUCCUUGAAAAUGUAACCAGUAGAUGAUGGAAAGGCCCGGGCUUUUCCUGAGGGUGCGGUGGGGGAGGGCCGACCCCAAAUUCAGGGUGAUAGCCCUCCCCUGAUGGCGUUGGAGGGGUGGUGAGGGCGCAGAGAGAAGCCCCUCCCUAAAUCACCCCUGCUUUUUGCUCUCUCUCCCAGUGGUCCCCCUCUGGGGUGGAAAGGGGUGGCUCUGGAGGUGGGGCCCCACACUGGGGCUCCGGGCUGGGCUAAGGGUUCAGGGACUCAGGGUGAGUCUCCCUCCUGGCCCAGCACCUUCCCCCCAGAAGCAUCUCCCAGUGUGGCCGUGGCCACAGACACACCCCGCAGGCAGAUGCUACCCCAGGCUGUAGACACAGGGCUACCAAGUUCUGCACAGGCCUCGGGUCCCCAGCCAGCUGGGAGCUCAGAGACCCAACUGCUUUCCUCGCACCAGGUGGCAACAAGGAGACCACCAAGCCCUGGCGAGGGGCCCUAGCCCUAGGAAGGGGGCAGUCAAGCCCAGGGAACCCUCAGCUGCUCCCAUCCCCCACUGGCCUGGAAAAGCCCCCAGGACCUAGUUGAUGGAGAAUAGGGAACCCUACCACUGGCCCAGGAGUAGCAUCUCCACCAAAACAAGAGUCAUCUGCCUGGAACUGGGAGUCCGUACAAACCAUAAUUCUUUGAGAAAGACCGACUGAUCUGAUCCUCGUUCAGCAUGCCUCUGUGCCGCCUGGAGCCGUCCCUU
rnacentral:lncRNA from 1 species